rnacentral:misc_RNA from 1 species
CAUUAAAUGAAUUGAAUUUUUGCAAAACCAUACCACCGUUGGCAUGGAUUCAUUUCUUUUAAAAUGAUUUACUGUUUUAUUUAAAUAAAUGAAUUCUAGCAAUUUUAAACUUUCCAAACAUGAGAAUUCAUCAAAAGAAUUCAAUUGAAUUGAAUUCUUUCAUUUUUAGAUCUUCAAAAUGCUUCCAAUGUGUUUCUAUUAUUUUUCCUUUUGGCACUUUCAUGGGCAUCCCCUGUUCUACAGCAUACCCUUGUGCAUUUUAAAAUGCAUCAUUAUUACUCUCAUGAAAUAUUGAUUUUGGGGCGGAUUAUGACUUCCAAAGGAUGGACACAUCUGCUAGUACUACAUUGGGAGUUUCACGAGAUUUGUCAUGAUCAUAAAGCCACUUGGGCUUUCUAAUAUAGAACUCAUAUGCAGAUUUUGAACAAUUUACUCCAUUAUUGCAGGUACU